CCUACGGGAGGCAGCAGUGGGGAAUAUUGCACAAUGGGGGGAACCCUGAUGCAGCGACGCCGCGUGAGUGAAGAAGUAUUUCGGUAUGUAAAGCUCUAUCAGCAGGGAAGAAAAUGACGGUACCUGACUAAGAAGCCCCGGCUAACUACGUGCCAGCAGCCGCGGUAAUACGUAGGGGGCAAGCGUUAUCCGGAUUUACUGGGUGUAAAGGGUGCGCAGACGGAGGUGCAAGUCAGCGGUCAAAUUGCGGGGCUCAACCCCGUACUGCCGUUGAAACUGCAUACCUUGAGUGCGCGAGAAGUAUGCGGAAUGCGUGGUGUAGCGGUGAAAUGCAUAGAUAUCACGCAGAACACCGAUUGCGAAGGCAGCAUACCGGCGUGCAACUGACGCUCAUGCACGAAAGCGUGGGUAGCGAACAGGAUUAGAUACCCGGGUAGUC
rnacentral:rRNA from 1 species